UGGUCCGCAGAGCUUUCGCCCGCUCCGGGGCCCGGCUCCCGCCCCCCGGCCGUCUCUGGAGAGACCUUGGCCAGUCUUGUCUUAAGCGGGGCCGGGUCGUUAAUGACGCCCUUUCAGUUGGCUCCGGGUUUGGGCCGAGUGACAGUUCGGGAAACUGGAGUCAAAGAGGCCCAAAGUUGUCUGACCGGCCACGUGACAGCAGUGACAGCUACCGGCGUCUGAAGGCUCGGCCAUGGGCGCUCCCCGGGAGAGCCAGCCGGCAUUUCUCCGGCACCUUAAAGCUUCCAAAGCGCUUUGAAAAUAUCUGACCCUAUGGGUCCUCAUCGCGACCCCGCAAAGUGAUUCAGGCCAGUUUCAAUGGCUUUGUAUUGGAGAGAGCCAUCUGCACCCAGAGAGAGCAAGCACUGUGGGGACUGAGUGUGGAUCACAACCAUCCACAACGGCUGAAGGAUCCCUGAGGAGCUGGCCUGAGACCGAGUCCAGUGUUCCGCUUUUGACGUAGCCUCUCCCCCCAGCUUCUGAGUCAGCCCUAGAAUUCAGGGAGUGGACAGAUGGGACCCCGAGACACCCAAGAGCCUGCCGCGUGUUUUAUCCCUCAGCACCCCCAGAUGGACGGCUCAGGGAGCAAAGGUCAGAGGGCUGGGGCCUCCCUGACCCCUCCUGUACAUUUCAGGCUUGGCCAUGACGCUGCACAAGCUGGACUUCCGGCCUUCCUGUCCACGGGCCGCCCAGGGGCUCUCUGCUUCUGCUGCCCGGGCCUGAGCUCUGUCAAUUAUCCAGCUCCUCAUUCACAGCUCCCGCAACUCUUCCUUCAUUUGGCUGUUUGUUAUAUCACAGGCUGUCCAUAAGCAGAUUAGCCCAGACUGGGAAGCUGCACAGAACCCUGCCUCAAGGACCCACAGGAGCUGGAGAGGGGGCCUGGAGGACGGAGGGCCUGCCUUCUGUCACAUUCCCCCGGGUUGGAAAGUACCAGUUGCCCCCGUGCGGCGUUGCUGGGCCUUUCUCUUUUCUCCCGCGUGUUGGUAGAGUUUUAGCCCAGCAUGGCCCACUCUCCCAGGGUGCCUGCCGGACAGCACAGCUGGGCUUCCCUCAGGGUUCCAUCCUUCUCAAGGGCAGGGCCUUUGGCACAGGGGUGCCAUACACUCUUCCAUAACACCUCCCAACUGAAGGCUGGAAGUUCCCUCCAAAGGGCCAUCCCAGAGAAACUGAGAACACUUAUAUGAGCAAAGACAGAGGGACGGCAGAGGGAAGGAGGGCAACAAUCCACACAAUGAUCACAAUGUCGUAAAACCAAAGCAGCGACCAAGGACGAGCAGGGGGUCUUUGAGGAUUCCCAGAUUCAAAAGGAGACAAACUUCCGGAGGUGGCUAAUCUGGGAGGUUUUUUGCCUCACUAUUCGUGUUUAUUCCAAAGGUUUUUGUUUUGACUGAGAAAAGGGCAGAGGUUUUUUGUUUUUUUUUGUUUUGUUUUGUUUUUGGCUUUGUAUUCCCAGCCUCUAGCAUUGCUCUGCUCAGAGGAGAGCCUUAAUAACAUAUUGAUUGAAUUAAAUUGGUGACUUGGAUGGAUAA